CAGAAUUUGUCUUAUUCUGAUGUAGGAUGACCAAAACAUCUGGAGAAACAAAUUGGGACCCAGAAGCCACUUGCUCCACAUCUGCAGUUACAAGGCAGAACAAAUUUGCCAGAACCAAGCUACAGAUGGGGAAACUGAGGCCUGGAGUAACCAGUCAUAUUGCUUCCAUGCUGGGAACUCUCCAAUGACAUAUCGCACAAUACAGAGCCAACCUCAAGUUCCCCACCAUAGACCACAAGGACUUGCAAGUUCUAACCUUGCCCAAUCUCCCUUAUACGCCCUCAGUCCAUGUGCCUCUGUGAUGAUGGAUUGGGUCCUUCUUGGCUUCCUCCAAAGGGGCAGAACUGCUCUGGAAGGUUCCUCAUGGCAUUGGCAAUGAUCUUAUUCUAUGCUGCUUAAAGAGAUUAAAUUGACUUUGCUCUUGUUACAUAAUUAAUGGUUAAGAAUAAAAUUCUGAACAUUUUCAAGGAAACUUUUA
rnacentral:lncRNA from 1 species